AAAAAAGCAAAACCCAAGACGGUCCAAUUAGUGAUGAGCUUCAGGAGGAGCCGGCAGAUCCCAGAGCCAACACGGGGGCGGCAUGCCGUGAAGCUGGGAAGCCUGCCAUCCCAGCCUCCCACUGGGACGCUCAGGUACCCAGUUGUAUUUCAGAAUGGAAGGGAGCUCAGAACCCAGAGCGCAUGUCUGUGAGAACUUUCUACAGGCACAAGAGAGAUGGCUCAGUGGCAGAAAUGUGCUGGCCCUAAUGAAAGAGAUUCAGCCAAAUUCUACAGGUGCUGUUUGCUGUCACAGUCAGGUUCCAUCAGCCUCCCUCAAAGCAGCCUAAUGCCUACCUGCUAGCACAUGCAACUGAGGCCACCCUCUGGUCUUUAGAAGCACCCUGCUCCCAGCCUCCUCACCCCACCCCACCAGCUCUCUCCUUUCUCCUCCUGACCAGACUCAGCAGGAGGGAGAGGAUGCUUUAGAACCACCCCUGUGCAGGAGGGAGUGCUGCUCCCUUUUCCUACCCAUAACUGUGGCGCGGGUAUCUGCUUCAUUCUGUAUCUCGGUUUCUUUGGUUGUAGACAAGGCGGGGAAAUAAUGCUCAUCCUUGUUAAUCUCAUGGUGCUCCUAUUGUCAAAUUGGCUGAUAGAUAUUAGAAAGCUCUCAAAUUGUAACGACACUGCAGGGUUCACAUGACCAAUGGCACCCUCUUCUAAAAUAGCUUUCUGCUCUCUGCCCCGACUGCGCUACUUUUCAUGACAUUUUCCAGGUUUUGAGCAUCCAGUAAGGACAGUUCUUAUACUGGGUUAGAAGCAAAACAAUCUGAACUUUUAAACUAGUAGAAGAAGCAGACAUGAAUGAAUGAAUGAAUGAAUGAAUGAAUGAGUAAGUAACAUGUAAAAUUACUCUUCAUUAAAACAUCUGCAUGUUGGUAUGGUGCCUGGCUAGUAAUAUUUAGCAUAGUACCUUCUGUAGUUCUAUCAGAAGUCCCAUGAAGACACAUGAAAUACCAAAAGCUGACAAUAGUGCUACAUAUCAUAUUUGAGAAUGGGGUAAUUUUCUGUCUGCUCCUACAGCAAGCCGUGAGAAGCCCUUGACUCUGUACAUCCUGCUCCUAAAUAUAGGAUGUGCUGA